AACGAACGCUGGCGGCGUGGAUUAGGCAUGCAAGUCGAGCGAUCCUUCGGGAUAGCGGCAAAAGGGUGAGUAACGCGUGGGUAAUCUACCCUCAAGUUAAGGAUAACCUUGCGAAAGCAAGGCUAAUACUUUAUAUGACCACAAACACAUAAGUGUAUGCGGUAAAAGGUGGGGACCUUCGGGCCUACCACUAGAGGAGGAACCCGUGUCCUAUUAGCUAGUUGGUGAGAUAACAGCUCACCAAGGCGAAGAUGGGUAGCUGGUCUGAGAGGAUGGUCAGCCACACUGGGACUGAGACACUGCCCAGACUCCUACGGGAGGCUGCAGUCGAGAAUCUUUUGCAAUGGGGGAAACCCUGACAAUGCGACGCCGCGUGAGCGAUGAAGGCCUUCGGGUUGUAAAGCUCUGUUUGCCUGGAAGAAAGACGGUGGUCGAAUAGACCACCGGGAUGACGUACAGGCAGAGGAAGUCACGCUAACU
rnacentral:rRNA from 1 species